rnacentral:rRNA from 1 species
GGUUUAAUUCGAUGAUACGCGAGGAACCUUACCCGGGCUUGAAUUGCAGAGGAAGGAUUUGGAGACAAUGACGCCCUUCGGGGUCGUCUGUGAAGGUGCUGCAUGGUUGUCGUCAGCUCGUGCCGUGAGGUGUCGGCUUAAGUGCCAUAACGAGCGCAACCCCUCUCCUUAGUUGCCAUCAGGUCAAGCUGGGCACUCUGGGGACACUGCCACCGUAAGGUGUGAGGAAGGUGGGGGAUG